rnacentral:rRNA from 1 species
UACGUAGGGUGCAAGCGUUGUCCGGAAUUAUUGGGCGUAAAGAGCUCGUAGGCGGUCUGUCACGUCUGCUGUGAAAACUCGGGGCUUAACCCCGGGCCUGCAGUGGGUACGGGCAGACUAGAGUGCGGUAGGGGAGACUGGAAUUCCUGGUGUAGCGGUGAAAUGCGCAGAUAUCCGGAAGAACACCGGUGGCGAAGGCGGGUCUCUGGGCCGAUACUGACGCUGAGGAGCGAAAGCGUGGGGAGCAAACAGG